UGUUACGGCCAAAAAAAACCGUGCCACUUAGUUUUUUUUAUUUUGUGAAAUAUUUCAAAACUCCCACGACUCCCACUAUACUUCUGCAAAUCCCUAACCUAUCACUACUGAAAAUAUGAAAUUGCCCCAAUUGUGCGCUCAUCAAUCUCCCUAAUCUCUCUGAAUAUCAUCCUCAAAUUUUUACUUGACGAACCAUAAACAUUUAAUUCGUUUUCUUUUUGCUGAAUUUUCCCUUUUAAUUUGCCCAAUUCGUCAAUUUUGUUUGAGAAUUUUAAUUGACCCAUACAAAUUCAAAAUUCUCAUUCUAAGAUCUAAUUUCAAUAUUCUCGAAAAAAUUCUUGUCAAAAAGAAAGAGAUCCAGAAAAGAGGCUACUUUCAGGAUGUUGAAGCUUCUCCCAGAGCUAACAAUGACACUAAUCGUAGAGAUUAGUUAUUGCGUUACCAAGGGUAUGCUUUGGCAACUUCAAAGUUGGAACAUGAAAGCAAUUUUAAAGCAUCAAUAUUUAGUCUUAUAAAAUAAAUCUUAUAUUGGCAUAGAUUUGGUUUUGGCAUUAAGUACAUUCUAGCUACUGAACGUUUUUUUUUUUUU